UUUCCGUAGGUGAACCUGCGGAAGGAUCAUUCAUAAUAAAGUGUUUUAUGGCACUUUUUAAAAUCCAUAUCCACCUUGUGUGCGAUGUUAGAUCUCGUCAAUCUUGGCGAGAUUUUUAUACAUCAACUCAUUCUUUAACUAAUUUGUCUGAAAAAUAUUAUGAAUACUUAAUUCAAAAUACAACUUUCAACAACGGAUCUCUUGGCUCUC
rnacentral:misc_RNA from 1 species